rnacentral:rRNA from 1 species
GACGUAGGGGGGCAAGCGUUGUUCGGAAUUAUUGGGCGUAAAGCGCUCGUAGGCGGGAUUGGAAGUCCGUGUUGAAAGACCUCGGCUCAACUGAGGGGACCGGCUCGGAUAACUCUAAUUCUUGAGGCAAUCAGAGGAUGAUGGAAUUCCCGGUGUAGCGGUGAAAAUGCGUAGAUAUUCGGGGAGGAACACCAGUGGCGAAGGCGAAUCUCUGGGGGUUGUUCUGACGCUGAGGGAGCGAAAAAGCUAGG